AACGAACGCUGGCGGCAUGCCUAACACAUGCAAGUCGAACGAGACCUUCGGGUCUAGUGGCGUACGGGUUCGUCACGCGUGGGAACCUGACCUUAGGUUUGGCAUAACUCUCCGAAAGGGGUGCUAAUACCGGAUAAUGUCUUCGGCCCAAAGAUUUAUCGCCUUUGGAUGUGCAAGCGUUGGAUUAGCUCGUUGGUAGGGUAAAAGCCUACCAAGGCGACGAUCCAUAGCUGGUCUGAGAGGAUGAUCAGCCGCACUGGGACUGAGACGCGGCCCAGACUCCUACGGGAGGCAGCAGUGGGGAAUAUUGGACAAUGGGCUAAAGCCUGAUGCAGCAAUGCCGCGUGAGUGAUGAAGGCCUUAGGGUUGUAAAGCUCUUUUACCCGGGAUGAUAAUGACAGUACCGGGAGAAUAAGCUCCGGCUAACUCCGUG
rnacentral:rRNA from 1 species